CUCCUUUGCCACUUGUGAAAUGUCAGGAUUAUAUGCUUUUUUUACCCUUUCAUAUAUCAUGGGAUGGCUGAACUGCAUGACAGGCACAGAGAAAUGCGCCUUGGUGUUGAUAACACGUCUUAUGAGGAAUUGUUGGCAUUGGAGGAGCGAAUUGGAGAUGUCAGCACUGGAUUGAGCGAGGAUGUCAUUAUGAAGUCGAUAAAACAGCAAAUAUACAUGUCUGUUAUGGCGGAGUCUUCUACAGAUCUUGAGCCUUGUUGUAUCUGUCAGGUAAGAGUUAUGGUCUCAGCUAAUUAAGGUGCAAUUACAAGUUGGGAAGGAAACAGCUCAAUGAGUAAAAGGGAGUCUGUCUUACUCUUGAAGCCCUUUUCUUAUUCUAUCUUUUCCUCCAAGACCCAAAUUCCCCAACACACCCUUAAAGUAAAGAAGGGAUUCUCUCCCAAUUGACAGCAUUAUUGCUCCAUUUGAAGUUGAGACAGAUUGAGAUUUGUCAGGAGGAAAACAAAAUUCUAGAGAAAACACACCGCCAAAAGAUUUUGGAAGUUGAAAAGCUUAGCCCAACUAUUUAAGAACUCGAGGAAACCAUCUUAGCAAGCGGAGCCACUACUAAUGCCAUUCGUGAUUACCAACGGUGGAUUUUUGAGCUGCUAGUAGGCAUAUCUUGAACUCAUUUUAUCAUAUAAUAUAUGACUGGUUAGUAUGUGUGGUAACUUGGAGUUGCACCAUCAUGCUGGAGGAGAAGAAAACAUUGGAGAGGGAACUAGCAAGGGCAAAAAUGGACUUGGUAUAGUUUUAGUUUGGUUCGGAUGAGGACUAUGAUGAUGAGGAUGAAGAUGACACUGAAGAUUAUAGCUGAUAGUUUUAGUUUGGUUGAACAAUAUACUGGAAAUUAUAGUUGAUGAUCAAUACAUUUUGUUUAUAUUUUGAAUUAUAUUGA